UCCCCUAGUAACGGCGAGUGAAGAGGGAAAAGCCCAGCUUUGAAAUCUCCGGCCUUGCGCUGUCGGGAACUGUGGUGUAUAGGAAGCCUACUUGUCCGCCUGUUCGGGUACCCGGGUCCUCCUGAUGGUGGCCUCUCCCAUAGCCCGUGUCAUGCCCAUAAAGGCACCCGACGGCAUCAGCUUGCAGCUUCCUCGGAGUCGGGUUGUUUGGGAAUGCACCCCAGAGUGGGUGGUAAACUCCAUCUAAGGCUAAAUACUG
rnacentral:rRNA from 1 species